CACCCCAAAACUCGAAUUAUUAAAUUCGUUAGUAGGUUACCUUGGGUAAUUAGAUGAAGUACAACAACUAAGUUAUUAAACUUAGUUAAAUGUCUAAUAAAUAAGUAAAGGAAUGAAGUUUGUGGCAACUAUGAUGAUGUGUUAGAGUUGAGGGACCUAGAUUGCCAUAAUGUAAACUAAAAUAUAAUAAAAAAAAAAAGAAAAAAUAAAACCACAACACACACUGUGCGUGUGUGUGGUCGAUCGCACAAGGCAGAGGGAAAGGGGUAAACCCUAAUUCUCAAGAAAUCUCCAAAUUGAAAAGGGAAUUGAAGGAUUUUAGGAUGCAUGUAUCAAGAUUAUCGAUCUCCUAAGUGUUCUUCACUAUCAAGAACGUGUCAAGGAGAGGUCAAGCAUAGGAGGAUAACGGGUCAAGAUAAGGCAAGGUGACAAAUACACUUAAUGGAGUACUCGAGGUAAGUGAAUUUCGAUUCACUUUUUAGUAGGUUUAAUAGAUUUUAAUACUUAUGUUUACGAAACAUCAUGAAAGAACAUGUAAUAAUCAGAAGUACAAAGCCAAUAAUGCCUCAUUAUUGAGGAAGGUUGUAUUAAGCCGAAAGUAAAUUGGUGGGUUUAAACGGGUCGAAUUUUAUGUGCAUAUGUUGCGUAAUGUAAUGAAAUUCGUUAUGGUUAAGACCUUGGGUAGGAAGUUUUAGUCAUUAUGUAAGGGGAACACUUCCCGGACCAUUAGGAACAAGUUUUAUAUGAUUCGGUUGUCGGUUAGUUAAUGAACGGAUUGUUUCAUGUUAGUGUAGGAAAUUUUAUAAGUAUAUGUGUAUAGGAACCCAAAGGGCACGUGGGUUGAAUCAUAGAUUGUUUAUACUAUGUAAAGUUGUGAAUGUGACAUUCCGGCAUAAACCUACAUGUAAAAGAAGCUUGUGUAUAUAUUCGUGAUUAAUUGAUUGUGCGUAGGAAGGAACAUUGGCAUGUAUGAAGGUACGCAUGUAUAUGUAAGUGUGUAUAUAUAUAUAUAUAUAUAUAUAUAUAUGUAUGAUAAUAAGUACGUAGGUGUGAAUGAAUGUUCAAUGCUUAAGACAUAUGCAUGAACGUUAUCAAAGUGUUCGAGUAUUUAUGGUUACUAAUGAUGUGCGUUGAGUUGGAAUGUAAUGUAGGUAUGGGAUCGUUGGCUUCAUGAAGAAAUGGAGCUGGAUUUGGAUAAGAGUAUCGCUUGGGUUUUCUCUACAUUUAUUGAAGUGAAGCGGACUUAGUUCGAGUUGAGAGCAAGGAUUGUACGGGGUAGAAUGGUCACAUAGUGUAACUCAUAUAGAUUUUGAAGUAUUUGAACCUUCAUGUGUUUGAUAUGUCUAUUAAAGAACGAAAUUUUUGGGCUCU